rnacentral:misc_RNA from 1 species
UCUCCGUAGGUGAACCUGCGGAGGGAUCAUUACCAGAGAUGGCGACCUUCGGGUCCCGUCCCCAACCCUUUGUUGACCUAAAACCAUUUUGCCUCGGGGGCAGAGCGUCCGCCGCCGCCCCCGGAGGACCACCUAACGCUGUUUUAAUACGUCGGAGUAUUGAUUAAAUAAAUAAAAACUUUCAACAACGGAUCUCUUGGUUCUGGCAUCGAUGAAGAACGCAGC